GGGGGUGUGGCGCAACGGUAGCGCGUCAGAUUCCAGAGAAAAUGGCUUUCAUAGCUCUUAUGGUGGUCAUAACAUGGGAUUUCCUGAAGGUUGAGCGUUCAAAUCGCUCCAUCCUCA